UGUGGGAGCUGGCUUGCCUGCGAUGCAGACAACUCGGUGCUUGCGUCAGACCGAGGUGAUGCUAUCGCAGGCAAGCCAGCUCCCACA
rnacentral:antisense_RNA from 2 species